rnacentral:rRNA from 1 species
UCGCCCCGGGCGGGGCGGGGGAACGGGGGGAACGCGAAAAACCUUACCGGGCCUUGUACACACCGAGGCCUUGUACACACCGGGGGUCUUGUACACACCGAGGGUCUUGUACACACCGUUCGCGGUUAGUGGAGACACUUUCCUUCAGUUCGGCUGGAUCGGAGACAGGUGCUGCAUGGCUGUCGUCAGCUCGUGUCGUGAGAUGUUGGGUUAAGUCCCGCAACGAGCGCAACCCUCGCCCUUAGUUGCCCUUAUUCAGUUAGGCACUCUAAGGGGACUGCCGGUGAUAAGCCGAGAGGAAGGUGGGGAUGACGUCAAGUCCUCAUGGCCCUUACGGGCUGGGCUACACACGUGCUACAAUGGUGGUGACAGUGGGCAGCGAGACCGCGAGGUCGAGCUAAUCUCCAAAAGCCAUCUCAGUUCGGAUUGCACUCUGCAACUCGAGUGCAUGAAGUUGGAAUCGCUAGUAAUCGCGGACCAGAAAUCCGUGCGCUCUACUCUUGCUGCUGCUAAUUAAUUCAAUAUAUUCAUUCUGUGGGGAUCCCG